GAUGAACGCUGGCGGCGUGCUUAACACAUGCAAGUCGAACGGAAAGGCCAGUGCUUGCACUGGUACUCGAGUGGCGAACGGGUGAGUAACACGUGGGUGAUCUGCCCUGCACUUCGGGAUAAGCCUGGGAAACUGGGUCUAAUACCGGAUAGGACAAUGGUUUGGAUGCCGUUGUGGAAAGUUUUUUCGGUGUGGGAUGAGCUCGCGGCCUAUCAGCUUGUUGGUGGGGUAAUGGCCUACCAAGGCGUCGACGGGUAGCCGGCCUGAGAGGGUGUACGGCCACAUUGGGACUGAGAUACGGCCCAGACUCCUACGGGAGGCAGCAGUGGGGAAUAUUGCACAAUGGGCGCAAGCCUGAUGCAGCGACGCCGCGUGGGGGGUGACGGCCUUCGGGUUGUAAACUCCUUUCGCUAGGGACGAAGCGUAUUUGUGACGGUACCUGGAGAAGAAGCACCGGCUAACUACGUG
rnacentral:rRNA from 1 species